rnacentral:rRNA from 1 species
GAUGAACGCUAGCGAUAGGCUUAACACAUGCAAGUCGAGGGGCAGCACAAGGUAGCUUGCUAUCUGGGUGGCGACCGGCGCACGGGUGCGUAACGCGUAUGCAACUUGCCCUAUACAGGAGGAUAACCCGUCGAAAGACGGACUAAUACUGCGUAUGCUCACAACUUGGCAUCAAGUGGUGAGGAAAGAAAUUCGGUAUAGGAUAGGCAUGCGUCCCAUUAGCUUGUUGGUGAGGUAACGGCUCACCAAGGCAACAAUGGGUAGGGGAACUGAGAGGUUUAACCCCCAAACUGGUACCGAGACACGGACCAGACUCCUACGGGAGGCAGCAGUGAGGAAUAUUGGGCAAUGGGCGCGAGCCUGAACCAGCCAAGUCGCGUGAAGGAAGACUGGCUUAUGGAUUGUAAACUUCUUUUAGACGGGAAUAACAAGAGUCACGUGUGACUCCCUGCAUGUACCGUAUGAAUAAGCAUCGGCUAACUCCGUG